CAUGCAAAUGACAAAAAUGAUGCAAAAUUUGCUCAUAAAAUUAAAAAUAACCGACUUCCUGUUGGGUUUCGGAUAUUGCUCCAAGAGUCUUUUUUGUAGGUACUGAUGCUUUACAUAUGUGUGCCAAUUUUCGUGCAUGUACGUGAAACACAGCUCGAGGGCUGUUGAUUUUUUUACGAUAGGUGGCGCUGUUGAGCCAUUUUGCCACACCCUCUUCUGAAACCUAUAUCAGACGUAAAUUUUCACCAGGUCUGACGCGUGUGCAAAGUUUCAGGACUUUUCGAGCAUGUUUAGGCCCUCAAAAAUGCGAUUCAUUUUGGAGAAGAAGAAGAAGAAGAAUAAUAAUAAUAAUAAUAAACGAAGCAGAUACAAGAGGGUCCUCACACCAUCGGUGCUCGGGCCCUAAUUAAAGCUGCAAGCAGCGAUGAACGGGCCCUCGCACCCGGGCUCACCACCACCGGGUGGCUUUUGUAAAACAGCGAACGGCGAGAAAUAUGCGUUUAAUGUGGUAAAUAUAAGAGGAAUAUGUCAAAGUCAUUUAUAUAUGCCAAUCUUCCUGCUGCCAGCUGGUGGCGCUAUGACUAUAACUGGAUGUUGUCAUGUAGAUUUCUUCAGUCCAGCACUUUUAUCAAGCAUAUGAAAUUUAGUGCAGAUUGAACAUGGAAUGUUUGAGUUAGUAUAAAGCAUGUUGUGUCCUAUUGCCAACAGGUGGCGCUAUGAUUAUAACUGAACAUUGG
ensembl:lncRNA